UCUCCCAGGAGUACAUCAACCUCCUGCUGUCCAUGUAUUUCUUCGUGCUGGGAAUCCUGGCCCUGUCCCACACCAUCAGCCCCUUCAUGAAUAAGUUUUUUCCAGCCAGCUUUCCAAAUCGACAGUACCAGCUGCUCUUCACACAGGGUUCUGGGGAAAACAAGGAAGAGAUCAUCAAUUACGAAUUUGACACCAAGGACCUGGUGUGCCUGGGCCUGAGCAGCAUCGUUGGCGUCUGGUACCUGCUGAGGAAGGUAUUUGGCACCAAUGUGAUGGUGACAGUGGCCAAGUCCUUCGAGGCACCAAUAAAAUUGGUGUUUCCCCAGGAUCUGCUGGAGAAAGGCCUCGAAGCAAACAACUUUGCCAUGCUGGGACUUGGAGAUGUCGUCAUUCCAGGGAUCUUCAUUGCCUUGCUGCUGCGCUUUGACAUCAGCUUGAAGAAGAAUACCCACACCUACUUCUACACCAGCUUUGCAGCCUACAUCUUCGGCCUGGGCCUUACCAUCUUCAUCAUGCACAUCUUCAAGCAUGCUCAGCCUGCCCUCCUAUACCUGGUCCCCGCCUGCAUCGGUUUUCCUGUCCUGGUGGCGCUGGCCAAGGGAGAAGUGACAGAGAUGUUCAGCUACGAGUCCUCAGCGGAAAUCCUGCCUCAUACCCCGAGGCUCACCCACUUCCCCACAGUCUCGGGCUCCCCAGCCAGCCUGGCCGACUCCAUGCAGCAGAAGCUAGCUGGCCCUCGCCGCCGGCGCCCGCAGA
rnacentral:sRNA from 1 species